CUGCAUGACGAUGGAGUGAUGGCAGGGAUGAUGAAACAUCUUCUGGUUACAUGCGAACUUUUUUGCAGGACUCCACCGCUUUGAUUUACGAUUAAUUCGGUAUGGACGGAUCGACGAACUUCAUUUUAAGUGGGUUUUAAGCAUUCCCGCGAGACGUUAACACAAACGCAGAUGGAGGUAAAGUAAUGAUAUUCUAAUGAGAUUCUUUUGUUUAAAUACCCGCCAUGUUCUCUGAAUUGUUAAAAAUGGAUAGGAAACACCUGACAUAAUAGACG